GAAUGAUGACCUAUUUUAGUUCUUUAGGAAUAUAGUGUUAUAAUGGUGAAGAAAACUUAACGAAGAUUCCUACUAGACAAUAAGAUAACCAAAAUGUUAUUUAUAUAUGUGAAGAUUUACUUUCAAGGAUUCACAAGAGGAAGAGAAGAAAAAAUGGAGUAAAAGAUGAACGACUAGAACGGGGAGGGGAUUAAGGUGUUGACAAGCCACUUGAGGGGGCCACAAGGCUAACCAAACUUAAAAUAACUGGGUGUUGUCGUACAAUGUGCAUUUAAUAGAAAUGACAAAUCAAAACUAGCUAUGACUAACAUUCUUUCCUAUUUAAACCAAGUUGGUCAUUCUCUCUCGAACACUUCCACCUAUCUAAAUCAUCUUUCUCUCUCUUUCUCUUGAAUGCCCCUCCAAUACUCACUAAUUUCUCAAGCUCUCAACCAUCCAAACCAAUGAAACCACAUCCUGAACCUCCAGACCAACAUCAUUAUCUUACCUCUGGAUCAAGAUGCAUAUAAUAAUCAAACAUCCCUUCCUACAUGCCUAUUAAGAAAUUACCUACCUUACAUGAGUAGUUCUCUAACCUAACCUACACUUUUGAACAUUGGACAUUACCUCAUCAUUAUUUUCCCUCUCUUAUCCCUCUUCAUAGUCCUUCUCUUAUCCCUCUUCAUAGUCCUUCUCUUCCUCCCACACCAUCCUCAACCUCUUCUUCUUUUCUUCUUUUCCACCAUCCUUCGCUUACAUCAUCGUCUUGUUCUACCAUGAUCUAUCAACGAUGAUGUCCAAGAGCAAUCCUCUCCUCCAUCGGGCAAUUAUGCUCUUUCUUUCUCC
rnacentral:lncRNA from 1 species